GAUGAAGAACGUAGCGAAAUGCGAUAAGUAGUGUGAAUUGCAGAAUUCAGUGAAUCAUCGAAUCUUUGAACGCACAUUGCGCCCCUUGGUAUUCCAUGGGGCAUGCCUGUUCGAGCGUCAUUUGUACCCUCAAGCUUUGCUUGGUGUUGGGCGUCUUGUCGUAUUACGACUCGCCUUAAAUACAUUGGCAGCCGGCACUUUGGCCUAGGAGCGCAGCACAUUUUGCGAUCGUAGCCCGUUGUACUGGCGUCCAUCAAGAACAUUUACCACGUUUGACCUCGGAUCAGGUAGGGAUACCCGCUGAACUUAAGCAUAUCAAUAAGCGGAGA
rnacentral:misc_RNA from 1 species